UACGUAGGGGGCAAGCGUUGUCCGGAUUUAUUGGGCGUAAAGAGCGUGUAGGCGGCCUGACAGGUCUGCUGUGAAAACUCGAGGCUCAACCUCGAGAUGUCGGCGGAAACCGUCUGGCUAGAGUCCGGAAGAGGAGAGUGGAAUUCCUGGUGUAGCGGUGAAAUGCGCAGAUAUCAGGAGGAAUACCGGUGGCGAAGGCGGCAUCCUGGACCGACAUUGACGCUGAACGGCGAAAGCUAGGGGAGCAAACGGG
rnacentral:rRNA from 1 species